rnacentral:antisense_RNA from 1 species
CUUGAUCGAGCCGAGCCACAGCGGCUCGUCGCGCCCCUGGCCGUAGGUGGCCAGCAGCGCCUGCGCCUC